rnacentral:tRNA from 1 species
GGGCAUAUAGCUCAAUGGUAGAGUGCUUUCCUGGCAUGUGUGAGGGUCUGGGUUUGAUCCCCAGUAUUAUCA